UUUUAGGUCAACUUGAAAGACCCCCAGAAUGGGGAGACCCUCACUCAAGUCUAGGGAUGAUGCGAUCCACCAAGAACUCACGAGAGACC
rnacentral:pre_miRNA from 14 species